rnacentral:rRNA from 1 species
UAGUUAGCCGUGGCUUCCUCUCUCGGUACCGUCAGACCUUCGUCCCGAGUGACAGAGGUUUACAACCCGAAGGCCUUCAUCCCUCACGCGGCAUCGCUCCGUCAGGCUUGCGCCUAUUGCGGAAGAUUCUCGA